AUGGCUCAGGAGGACGCGGUGCAGGGGCUUGUGGCUGCAGCCCUGAGCCGUGCUGAGGACGCGAGCCCGGGCCCCAGCCAGCAGCCAGCACAGCCAGGCGGGGACGAAGCUGCAGAGGAGCUUGAUGCGGCCGUGCCACAGGGUCUGGUGGCACACGCCAUCAGUCCACUGCCACCGGCAAGGACAGCCCACGAGCGGACCAUCGAGCAUGCCAAAAGCGCUACCCCUGCAGCUCAGCAAGGACCAGGUCACCACGCUCGCAGGGGCAAGAGGUCUGCCAAAGCCGCCAGCGAGCCAGCUUCCCCUGUCGUCGGCAGUGGGCCAGGGCACAUGGGACGGGCCCCAGCAGAGCGGGAGGUGGCAGCAGGGCCGAGAGUCGUGCCAGUGCUGUGGGACGAGCAGCGGAGCUCCAGUGAGGAUGAAGAAGGGGAGGGCGAUGCUGAAAGAAUCAUUUUAGAACGGAGACACCUGGAGAGAGAGCCCUCCAUCCGCACCAUCUGGGUCAGAGACAGUUUGCAGAACCUGCCCAUGUUGCCCGGCAGCAGGGUCAGAGGCCCUCGCAGAGAUGCCGCCGGCGACUCGCAGCUCCCACCUCUCCCCCUGGCAGCACCCGCCAAAGCCGAGGCUGCAGGUCUGCCCUUGGCUGGAGCCCCUCGGGAGCAGGGCAGCAGGGUGCCYCUCGCCCCAGUAGUGCCCGAAGAGGAAAGUCCAGUGGCUUUGCCCUUGGCUGGAGCCUCUUGGGAUGAGGGGGUGCCUCGUCUCCCAGAAGACCCUGAAGAAGAAGAGCCAGCGGCUUUGYCCAUGGUCGGAGGCCCCUGGGAUGAGGUUGCGUCUGAGCAAAACGAUGAAGGAAAUCCAUCCUCAUCCUUCAGCACCACGUCAGAGGCUGACACCCCAGUUUGCAGCCAUUCUGGGGAUGAUGGGCCUGGGCCUUUCCCAGCGAGCAGCGCAGAGGCCGUGAGCACGGGGGCUGGCUGUGCCGAGCCCCGACCCCUCGGGAAAGCCCUGGGUGGCGGGAGGCAGGCAGGUGCUUGCCCUGUGCCCGCGCAGCCCCUCGCCCAUGCCUCUCCUCCCCACACAGGCAUCGCCGCUUGCCCGCACCCCCCGGCUCGCUGCCGAUGGCCCUUGUUGCACGGCACAGCGCUCUGGGCUCUGUGCAGAGCUUUCUCCUGCAGCUGUGUCACAGAGCAGCGAGAGGGACGGCGUAAGGACACAAGGGCCCCAGGAUCAUGSAGGUGCCUUUCGUAGUGGAGCCGGGGCCUCUGCAUGCGUUUUGGUGCGUGCCGGGGACCUUUGAGCGCCUUGCAAGGCAGCCAAGGGUAGGUUGUGUGUGUGUUGGUGCGGGCAGUGGGCUUCGGCGGGCUUUUAGUGCAGGCCAGGCUGGUCUGUGUAGCUUUUAGUGUGUGCCCAGGGCCUCGGAAGACCCUUUUGGGGCUGGUUUGGGGCCUCUGCCUGCCCUUUGGGGUGGGAAAGGAUAGUUUGUUUGCCGUUUGUGGCAGGUCAGGGUCCUGCAUGUGCAUUUUCCUGCUGCCCUGGGGCCUCCAAAGUCCUUUCCGUCCACCCUUGGGGUGCGCAGGUGCCUUCCGGUGCGCCCCGUUUGCAUCCGCUUGCCUUUUCCAAUGAGGCGGGGCCCGAGUGACCCCUCUGGCUCCCUCAGUGCUUCCCAAUUUUUCCGGUAAACCAGAGGGUUAAUGGGGGCUGGUGGUUUCAGGGCUUUGUUUUUGCAGGCAGGAGAGGAAGAAGUCUCAGGCAUUUCCCAUGUGAGGCCUCUCCCCUGCCUUUCAGGCCAGCAGCAGCAGGAGCUCAGACAGCAGCGCCGUGAUGUUGGGGGCGGCAGGCGGUUCCGGACAUCUCGCCUGGCUCCAGCCCUCUCUGCCGCGACCCCCCCGGAGCGGAGCCCUCGGUCCUGCCCUGUCCUUCGCAGCCGGGCCCGGGGAGCUGCUCAGCACCAGCUGGGGCAGCCGGGAGGAUCCUGCUUUCCCUGCAGCGCCGGCGCUGGAGGGCAGCGAAACCGGUGAGCGAAGGCGCAGCCAGGCUGCCCAGAGCUGCUGCCUCGGG
ensembl:lncRNA